UCAACGGGCGAAUAGACAUGGCGUGCGGAGGGCCUUUUGCUGGAAUCGCCUGCGGACUCGAGCUCAUUCGCGCCGACCCACCAAGCUUCAAGCCCCGAGAGAGAGAGAGAGAGAGAGGCGGCGGCGGCGGUUGGCUCGGAGCGCGGCGGAAACUUCCAUUUCCGAGCACCGGCGCGUUCCCGGCGAAGUUCCGGCUGAUCAAUGGUCAUAAUUUGAUCUCCGCACGCCGCUUCGAUUCCCGAGGAUUAGACGGCUGGUCGUGUCUGGUGUUUGUGUCGUCGGAAUUUCGCGACGACCCAAAAGUCACAUGAAUGAUCCGUAUGGCGAGAAUGGAAGCCACAAGGUUUACUAUCGAUUGCUACACUAUGUUCGAUCCAUUUUAUUCUUUGUGGUCUGGAGGAUUCUGAGGCCAUUUCUCGAGCGUGCACGUGCAUUGUAUCUGCAUGUUGACAUUGCUGGAAUUGGCCUUUAUUUUUAUUUUUAUUUUUGUAUGGGUAAUGCCGUUCAAUUUGGAAUUUAAUUUCCAUCUAUAUGCAUCUUGCGAUUGACAUGAAAUGUUUAGCAAUAUAGUUAGUGCUAUAUACGUUCAAGAGAUUCGGAACGAUGGCAACCACUCUUUCUGUCCGAUUUUGUCACAUACAAAAGCCAAGUAAUUGCUUGGCUAUAGCAGACAGUGCAAUACGAUUUCAGGAAGAUUACUUUGGUGCCUAACAGGGAAGACCUCAUUGAUAUCAUCCUUUCUCGUCGUUGUUUUCACAACAGAAUUUUCUUGAGAAGCCCUCAAGUAUCAUCCAGGAGUUUCUCAACUGAAUGCUAUCUAUCCUUUCUAUGGUGAUCUUCUCCAUGUGCUGUACAACAAGGAUCACUACAGGCUUGCUCUUGGGCAAAUUAACACGGCAAGGAACCGUAUUAGAAAGGUUGCUGAAGGCAAUGUCUAGCUGUUAUAGUACGGUGAGUCACUCUACUGACGCAAGUCUCUAACUUAAUCUUAGUUUGGCUUAUCUAGAACAGAGUAGACAAUGGAUGGCUAGGCUGCCUUCAGUAGAUCCAAAUAUUGGACUAUCCUGAUUUGCAGGUAUCCAAAUGUUGGCAAGAGCUAUUCUAUGAAUAACAUCACAAGGGCCGAUGUUGAAGUGCAGCCUUAUACAUUCGCAACUAAGUAGCUCUCUGGGUGUCAUAGUGAUUAUAAAUAACCUAGGUAUCAAGUCAUUGAUACUCCUGAGAUUCUGGAUCCCCAUUUGAAGAUCAUAACACUAUUGAGAUCUGCACUAUUACUGCUUAUGCUCAUCCACAUGCUGCUGUAUUGUUUUUCUUGGAUAUAUAGGGGUCUCGCGGAUACGACAUUGUCCAGCAAGCUGCUCCUUUAUACAGCAUCAAAUUGCUCUUUAUGAUCUAACCUUGACAAUAGUCUGCCACUGCUGGAGGUAUCUGUAGAGGACAUGAAAUUGGUUAUGGACAUGAAAGCUGAAGCUAUGGAAAGUGUGGGUCAGGGAGGUGAGGCCACAAAUGUAGAGGUAGUGUUGCUGAAGAUAGAGCACUUUGACCGAGGAUGGUGUAAUUGUUGUGAAGAAUUCAGCUUGGGAGAGUGGAAAAAAGAUGAUUUUCGAAAAAGAUAGACUGUCUGAACAGAUUUCACUAUGUGAUAUUAAAGCCAGGUGACCAAAAGGAAAGACUGCCUUGCAUAACAUAGGCAGUAUUAGAAGCUAGAGCUCAGAAAGCAGCAGAGAAAGAGAGAAAGCUGAAGAGGAUUUGGAGAACGAGAAUGGUGGGGCCCGGUGCCAGUGGUUGUUAGUUUGAAGAAAAACCAUAGUUUGGCUAAUGAAGAGUAAAAAGAAGACAUGGGCAUAGCAUAGCUGACUUUUGGAUCCUGAUAUUUACUAAAGCUUGAAGAGAGCUGGAAAGAGAAGAAUUACGCGAGGCAGAGGAGGAGGAGAAUGAUUUUGAGAUAAAUGGAAAAGAAUUGACCCCGGAAGAGCCAUAAGUGUUGGCUGAGAACAGAAAGAACAAAAGCUUGUUCAUUUAGGAACACAGAGUCAGGAAAAGUACCUCAGAGACUAGGCCAACUGUACUGAGAAAGUUUGACUAAAACCGUGAGUUUACAUCUGAGAGGACGGGCAGGCAGCUAUCAGCUCUUGGACUUGACCUGCUUGGCAACUGAGGUGGCCAAAGAGGGAGAGGUCGCCCGAGAGGGGAGACGAUGGUGGAGGGACGCUAUGGAUGUGGACCUAGAUCAAUCCAAUAAGGAAUGGGGAUUGAGGUCCAGGUCAAGGUUCUUUACCAAUUGGUUAGGAUGCCGGAUUUAGUUAUGCUGGUACUGGGUCUCAAGGACUCUGAUUAAGGGAAAAGCUUUUUAAAGCUUGUGAAGAAAUAUGUGAAAAGGAGUAACAAGGAUGCUCGUGGGGGAGUGGCAGAGAGAGUUAUUUCUUCCCUCAAACCAAAACACUGGUUCUCUGGCAAACGCUUAAUCGGAAAGACCCAAAGAAGAUGAAAUUUUCAGGUGCAUUAUCAGCAAAAUGCGAUAUGGAUCUUGCAGGAAGAGAUUCCUGUGUUCGUCUCUUGGGAAGCAGUUGGCUUCUGUUGUCAGUUGCUUUGUUGGAAUGAAAGUUCAUCUGGGUUCUUCAGAUUUCUUAGCAAAGAGUUACGGGUACACAGAUUCCACCGUGGUUUGUAUAGUCCUUAAAUGGGAUUGGUCUGUAUUUAUCAUCGUCACUUUUUUAUGUGCUCCUUGGGGAUCUCUUUGGUUCAAUUUCUCUCUCUCGUCCUGUCCAAUUGUGUCCUGAUUGGAAUCCGAUCAUACUCAUUAUGCUUUCCCAUCUUGGUGAACGAGGAACUUGGGGAUGGUUUUCGGGCAUUGUCCCCUUGGUCCGUAAGCUACAAAAUAAUGCAGGGUCAUCACUGACCAUGGCAUUAGACCACCGGCUUUCUGAUGUCCCUCAGAGUUACAUUCCAUUUCUCGAAAGGGUCAAAAGUGGUGAAGCUUUUCGAAAAA